rnacentral:rRNA from 1 species
CGUAGCCGCGGGAAUACGUAGGUGGCAAGCGUUGUCCGGAAUUAUUGGGCGUAAAGGGCUCGCAGGCGGUUUCUUAAGUCUGAUGCGAAAGCCCCCGGCUCAACCGGGGAGGGUCAUUGGAAACUGGGAAACUUGAGUGCAGAAGAGGAGAGUGGAAUUCCACGUGUAGCGGUGAAAUGCGUAGAGAUGUGGAGGAACACCAGUGGCGAAGGCGACUCUCUGGUCUGUAACUGACGCUGAGGAGCGAAAGCGUGGGGAGCGAACAGGAUUAGAUACCCGCGUAGUCCCUGUCUCUUAUACA